AUUGAACGCUGGCGGCAGGCCUAACACAUGCAAGUCGAGCGGAUGACGGGAGCUUGCUCCUUGAUUCAGCGGCGGACGGGUGAGUAAUGCCUAGGAAUCUGCCUGGUAGUGGGGGACAACGUUUCGAAAGGAACGCUAAUACCGCAUACGUCCUACGGGAGAAAGCAGGGGACCUUCGGGCCUUGCGCUAUCAGAUGAGCCUAGGUCGGAUUAGCUAGUUGGUGAGGUAAAGGCUCACCAAGGCGACGAUCCGUAACUGGUCUGAGAGGAUGAUAAGUCACACUGGACCUGAGACAGGGUCCAGACUCCUACGGGAGGCAGCAGUGGGGAAUAUUGGACAAUGGGCGAAAGCCUGAUCCAGCCAUGCCGCGUGUGUGAAGUAGGUCUUCGGAUUGUAAAGCACUUUAAGUUGGGAAGAAGGGCAGUAAGUUAAUACCUUGCUGUUUUGACGUUACCGACAGAAUAAGCACCGGCUAACUUCGUGCCAGCCGCCGCCGUAACAC
rnacentral:rRNA from 1 species